GCUGUGGCUCAGUGGCACAGCAUCUGCUUUGCAUGCAGAACGCCCCCGGUUCAAACCCUGGUAUCUCCA
rnacentral:tRNA from 1 species